rnacentral:rRNA from 1 species
AUUGAACGCUGGCGGCAUGCCUUACACAUGCAAGUCGAACGGCAGCACGGGAGCAAUCCUGGUGGCGAGUGGCGAACGGGUGAGUAAAGUAUCGGAACGUGCCCAGUCGUGGGGGAUAACGUAGCGAAAGUUACGCUAAUACCGCAUACGAUCUAUGGAUGAAAGCGGGGGAUCGCAAGACCUCGCGCGAUUGGAGCGGCCGAUAUCAGAUUAGGUAGUUGGUGGGGUAAAGGCCCACCAAGCCGACGAUCUGUAGCUGGUCUGAGAGGACGACCAGCCACACUGGGACUGAGACACGGCCCAGACUCCUACGGGAGGCAGCAGUGGGGAAUUUUGGACAAUGGGCGAAAGCCUGAUCCAGCCAUUCCGCGUGCAGGAUGAAGGCCCUCGGGUUGUAAACUGCUUUUGUACAGAACGAAAAGGUUUCUACUAAUACUAGGAGCUCAUGACGGUACUGUAAGAAUAAGCACCGGCUAACUACGUGCCAGCCGCCGCAGUAA